rnacentral:rRNA from 1 species
UUGGAGGGCAAGUCUGGUGCCAGCAGCCGCGGUAAUUCCAGCUCCAAUAGCGUAUAUUAAAGUUGUUGCAGUUAAAAAGCUCGUAGUUGAAUUUCGGGAUCAGAGUGUCGGUCGUGCCUCGGUACGCACUGGUAUUAUUGGUUCCUACCUUCUGAAGAACCGCGAUGUCAUUAAUUUGGUGUCGUGGGGAAUCAGGACUGUUACUUUGAAAAAAUUAGAGUGUUUAAAGCAGGCUUACGCUUGAAUACAUUAGCAUGGAAUAACGAAAUAGGACGUUCGAUCCUAUUUUGUUAGUUUCUAGGAUUGACGUAAUGAUUAAUAGGGAUAGUUGGGGGCAUUAGCAUUCAAUUGUCAGAGGUGAAAUUCUUGGAUUUAUUGAAGACUAACUACUGCGAAAGCAUUUGCCAAGGAUGUUUUCAUUAAUCAAGAACGAAAGUUAGGGGAUCGAAGACGAUCAGAUACCGUCGUAGUCUUAACCAUAAACUAUGCCGACUAGGGAUCGGAUGAUGUUAAUUUUUUAAUGACUCAUUCGGCGCCUUACGGGAAACCAAAGUGUUUGGGUUC